rnacentral:rRNA from 1 species
AUGAAUUGCAUGAGUUGGAACUGUCGAGGGUUUGGGAACCCUGAGAUAGUUCGCGAGCUUCUCAAGAUUGUGAAGCGGGAAGGCCCCGCCCUCCUCUUCGUGAUGGAAACGAAGAUUGGGGGGAAACGAGUGGAAAGUUUGCAGCCCCUCUUGGGGUUUGCCGGAAGUUUUGUUGUUGAUAGCGGUGGUUUGAGUGGUGGCAUUGGUUUUCUUUGGUCAGAGGACGUUCUAGUGGAACUAAAGAAUUACAGCAAAGCUCACAAUGAUGUGAGAGUCCGGAGGAAAGAGCAUGAUCAUACCUCUUGGUGA